rnacentral:rRNA from 1 species
CGGCUCAGUAACACGUGGAUAACCUACCCUCAGAUCUGGGAUAACUCCGGGAAACUGGAGAUAAUACCGGAUAAUCCGUGAACGCUGGAAUGCCUUACGGUUGAAAGCUUUAGCGUCUGAGGAUGGGUCUGCGGCCGAUUAGGUAGUUGCUGGGGUAACGUCCCAACAAGCCGAUAAUCGGUACGGGUUGUGAGAGCAAGAGCCCGGAGAUGGAUUCUGAGACACGAAUCCAGGUCCUACGGGGCGCAGCAGGCGCGAAAACUUUACACUGCGCGAAAGCGCGAUAAGGGGACCUCGAGUGCGUGCGCAAUGCGUACGCUUUUCAGAUGCCUAAAAAGCAUCUGGAAUAAGGGCCGGGCAAGACCGGUGCCAGCCGCCGCGGUAACACCGGCGGCUCAAGUGGUGGCCGCUAUUAUUGGGCUUAAAGGGUCCGUAGCCGGACCAGUUAGUCCCUUGGGAAAUCUUACGGCUUAACCGUAAGGCUGCCAAUGGAUACUGCUGGUCUUGGGACCGGGAGAGGCAAGAGGUACCUCAGGGGUAGGAGUGAAAUCCUGUAAUCCUUGAGGGACCGCCAGUGGCGAAGGCGUCUUGCUAGAACGGGUCCGACGGUGAGGGACGAAAGCUAGGGGCACGAACCGGAUUAGAUACCCGGGUAGUCCUAGCCGUAAACGAUGCGAGCUAGGUGUCACGUGGAUUGCGAAUC